rnacentral:rRNA from 1 species
CUACGUGCCAGCAGCCGCGGUAAUACGGAAGGUCCAGGCGUUAUCCGGAUUUAUUGGGUUUAAAGGGAGCGUAGGCCGGAGAUUAAGUGUGUUGUGAAAUGUAGACGCUCAACGUCUGACUUGCAGCGCAUACUGGUUUCCUUGAGUACGCACAACGUUGGCGGAAUUCGUCGUGUAGCGGUGAAAUGCUUAGAUAUGACGAAGAACUCCGAUUGCGAAGGCAGCUGACGGGAGCGCAACUGACGCUUAAGCUCGAAGGUGCGGGUAUCAAACAGGAUUAGAUACCCUGGUAGUCCGCACAGUAAACGAUGGAUGCCCGCUGUUGGUACCUGGUAUCAGCGGCUAAGCGAAAGCAUUAAGCAUCCCACCUGGGGAGUACGCCGGCAACGGUGAAACUCAAAGGAAUUGACGGGGGCCCGCACAAGCGGAGGAACAUGUGGUUUAAUUCGAUGAUACGCGAGGAACCUUACCCGGGCUUGAA